ACCUGCUCUAAACAGCUAGCCUCCCCCCCCCCACAACAAACACCAUUAAUACCCCUAACAGCACAAAAGUAACAAAACAAACCAUUUUACCCCCUUAGUACGGGAGACGGAAAAGGGCUUACAGCGCUAUAGAAAAAGUACCGCAAGGGAAAGCUGAAAGAGAAAUGAAAAACCCCAGUUAAGAGCAAAAAAGCAAAGAUUAACCCUUGUACCUUUUGCAUCAUGAGUUAGCUAGUACUUCCGAGCAAAGGGAACUAUAGUUCGAAGCCCCGAAACUAGACGAGCUACUUCAAGGCAGUCAUCAAGGACAAACCCGUCUCUGUGGCAAAAGAGUGGGGUGACCUUCAAGUAGAGGUGAUAAACCUACCGAGCCUAGUAAUAGCUGGUUGCCUACAAAAUGAACAGAAGUUCAGCCUUUUGACUUUUCUUAUCCUAGAAGGUAACCACCUUAAAAGAGACCAAAAAUUAAAAGAGUUAUUCGAAGGGGGUACAGCCCCUCCGAAAAAAGAUACAACUUUUCAGCAGGCUAAAGAUCACACCCAAUAAGGAAAGACACCUGGGUGGGCCUAAAAGCAGCCAUCCCAAAAGAAAGCGUUAAAGCUCAAGUAUCCCUUCCCCUCCCCCUAUAAGGACAACAAAAUCUUAAGCCCCUAAAACUAGUAGGCCUUUUCAUGCACCCAUGAAAGAGACACUGCUAACAUGAGUAAUAAGAGGGACCGCCCCUCUCCACAGCACCUGCAUACAACAGAACAGACAACCUACUGAAUAUUAACGCACCCAAACUAGAGGGUAAUGAGACAACCAUAACAAACUAGAAAACCUCUCAACAACAAGCGUUACCCCUACACAGGUGUGCCCGUGGAAAGACUAAAAGGAAAAGAAGGAACUCGGCAAACACUGGCCUCGCCUGUUUACCAAAAACAUCGCCUCUUGUAAAACAACCAUAAGAGGUCCCGCCUGCCCUGUGACCGCAAGUUUAACGGCCGCGGUAUUUUGACCGUGCAAAGGUAGCGUAAUCACUUGUCUUUUAAAUGAAGACCUGUAUGAAUGGCAUAACGAGGGCUAAGCUGUCUCCUUUUCCCAGUCAAUGAAAUUGAUCUCCCCGUGCAGAAGCGGGGAUAUAAACAUAAGACGAGAAGACCCUAUGGAGCUUAAGACACAAGGCAGCUAAUACUAAAUACCCCCAUAAAAGGAAAAAUUCUAUUUAGCUCUGCCCUCAUGUCUUUGGUUGGGGCGACCGCGGAAGAAUAAAUAUCUCCCACGUGGAAUGGGGUAAGACCCUUAAAAUUAGAGCCACAGCCCUAAUAAACAGAAUAUCUGACCUAAAAGAUCCGGCACAGCCGAUCAACGGACCAAGUUACCCUAGGGAUAACAGCGCAAUCCCCUUUAAGAGCCCUUAUCGACAAGGGGGUUUACGACCUCGAUGUUGGAUCAGGACUUCCUAAUGGUGCAGCCGCUAUUAAGGGUUC
rnacentral:rRNA from 1 species